CAUAGUUAAAAGAUACGAGUGUUCGAUGAAGCCUUUAAGUUUGAAAUACCAUUAGGUAUAACCGAUAAUCUAUUUAUCAAAAAUUAUGAAACAAAAUAUUAUACUUUACUAAAGUAUACUUUUAAAAGUACUUUUGAAUUUAACUAUUUAUUAUGUUAGGUAGCGGCUUACAAUUUAGAUUCUACCGACAAGAAAUGGUACAUCUGAUAACUCGAGAUUACUUAAGCUUGUUCAGUGCUUUUGCUCUAGUUCCGACAAGGUUAUGGUGGGCGUAUGCGCGUUAGCGAAGUGAUCGUUUUGCAGUAUCGUCAUGACACGAAAUAUUUUUGACAUUGAAAAUGUAGAAAGCGCCGUACACAAUGGGACAUUGAACGAUAGUGAAAAUACAGUCAUCCCGUGCAUAACAAUUAGGUACAUUUUAUGCAAUAAUAAUAAUAUAAUUGAUCAACAUCAAACGUGACGUUAGCGAUCUUUUCUGUCCUUGUGAUCAAAGUUAUAAACCGAAUGAUAAUUAGAAUAUCAUUGCGAAAAAACGGAUAAAUUUGUUAUUGUUUUUAAGUUUUAUAUAAAAUUAUGUUUUUAAAAAAUCUAAAGAUAUUUAACUAGUACUGUGUAAAACUCAUAGAAAGAUAUGUUCCUUUUUUAGCUGAUAUAUUUUUUUUGACCUUUAAAACAUAAUUAUGGUUUUCAAGCCAAUGUUUUAGUUAUAUCGAAUUUUAUUUCUGAAAAUAUAUCUAUAAUAUCUUUAGAGUAGCUUCAACUAAGUUACUUGACAAACAACUGAGCAUACAUAAGACAUAAGCAUUUAAAUAUUUGUCAAGGAAAAUAACUUCUUAUGUUAAUUAUUACAAGUCGUAAAAUAAUAUGUACGCAGUUUUCUACACAGCAUUUACCGCAAUUUGUACGCGUUGAACUCGGCUUAGCCGCUUUUUCUCGUAUAUAUCACUUACCUAUUUGAAAAGAUUUACUUCCGAUUACUAUUUCAAGGUUAUAAUAGAAUAUUCAUCUUUGAAAUAAAAAAAAUGUUUUAAAUGUUGUAAGCAAUUUUUAAUUGUAGCGUGAAAUAUUUAUAAUAUACUUUUAUUGAUA